GCGACAGUCUCGGAGCUGCUGGAGAGGCAGAGAGCACGCAACUGGGUAAAUUCGUAGACGUGGAAUUUCUGGAAUAAAUGGUCACCAAUUGUUUCAGCUUUACUCAUUGCGUAAUCCAACCUUCUUGCACUGCUUUGAAAUGUCAACAGCUGUUCUCCCAUUAGAUGGGGUGUAGUUUUCCACAGGUAUUCAAGAGAGUUAUCUGGAUUCAUUUCCUGGGAUUUUCUAGAAUGGCGUACAAGGCAAAUAAAUAUUAUCCUGGGAACAGAUCUGUACUGCAGUGUACAACUCAUCCUCUAAUGCUCCUGUUGGCCAAAGAAUACAAACACACAUUGACCCCUUUAGUGCACAGUGUUUUCCCUUAGCAUACAGGUUUGCUCUGUAGUAUACCCCUGCCCCAAGUCACAUCCGUACACACUAGCAAAAAUAUUUGCCCCCAUGCUACAGGGAUAUUUACCACCUCACUGCACUUACAAAAGCAACAGAUUAUCUUCAACACACAGACCCAUCUAAGGGAGACUAAUGUACCCCACAUAACAGUGGCUUGCUGUACAAUAAAGACUUUACCUAUGAAAUACAGACAAUUGAAGCCUUACAAACCCUUUCCAUCACACAGCCCUUCCUUUCCCAGGGCACACACAAUGUACAGACUUGAAUCACAGAACAUCUAUCAUCCCUACAACAUGCACAUAUAGCCCAGAGACACUCCCCAUUGUACAAAAUACCCCCACUCCAUAGAACACAGGUCUAUUCAUGAUCACCAUUCUCCAGCACAUGCUCCACCAACCCAACCAUUGACUGAUACACCUCCUAGGCACACACACUCCUCAUAUCACACCAACCCGUGCAACAGUCAUGCCCCACAGCACACAGAUUCUCUGUCAUGGUGACUCUCACAGCAGAACACUCUCUGUCCACAGCACACAAUCAUUGUAGCACACACAGAAUCUGUCCACAUAUUGUAGACUUUCCCUCCAGAACACAGAUUCCUAACACAGUUUGAAAUCAUCCUAUGACACAAGACUUGGUUAACAGAGAGAUGCACCCCAUGACACACAGACAAUUACCACAACAAUCAGAUCAAACAACAGGACACAGACUCAUUUCACUACACAGACAUUUUCCAGGUCAUGCGUACUCACCCUCUGAAACACACAGUAAGGACACAGUACGGAGAUAUUUCCCAUGGCACUCCGAGAAGUUUACCCUACCACGCUGAGAGACAACAAUCAUGCCACAACAUCCAUCCAUACAUACAUACAUACAAUGCUUCCAUAUAUAAGAUUGUACUACAACAUACAAACUUACUCUUCUCUAUACCAGUUCACUUUACAAUGAACAUGCUCACUCUACAAUGCAAAUACUUGCUAGGCACUUCUUUGCCCUACAGCAUCUGAAUCUUCUCCCAAACUCAUGGUCACAGUGCAUGCUAUGGUCCUUUAUCACCCUACGUAACCUGAAAUUCCUCAGACACACUCUGUGGUACACAGACAUACAUUACAUUGCUUAACAUGGUAUCACAGCAUUCAGCUUGGCACUACAACAGAUAAGACUCGUUUCACAAACAGGCACAUUCACCUUUGACACAUUCAUCUUCCACUACAGUAUUCAGAACCCCCCUCGGAGCACUACAUAGGUGUAAUCCACAGUUCUCUCACUCAUCCUGCAACACAACAGGCCACCACUAAAAUGCCCAAAAUAUGCUAUGGCACACACUGGCUCCAAUAUGCCCAAAACCCAUGGUAUCAUUUGUCAAGUAAAUCAGAGUUACCACAAAGCGCCACAACUAUAUACACCGUGCACACUGCUGCGUAUACCCACACAUACACAAAAGUCCAGAAAAAUCCACAGAUUCUCCCAUCAAUACACAUACUUGUUUCACAACUCAUAAAAAACACUGCUGAAUACUGAGACUCCACCUAAAUGCAUAGAUAAAACAUUUGAACAAAGACUCACCCCAGAAACAUACUCAUUUGUACUCAUAACGCAUGCCUUAAAAUCCACAGGAAACUUGUAAACACAUAGGUUUUUCUUUUCAUAACACACAGAAUUGUAUCACAACACUGAUCUACUUUAUAAUGUAAAAACCCACAACGAACAUAACAAUUUCCUAUUGUGUAGAUGUAUAAUACACAUAUUCCACCUACCUUAGAAAGAUUUCCAUUAUGGUGGGAAGACAUGCUUCACCUUAGUAUUGAGACACAAAUGGCCUACUACAGAGAUACUGCUUGUGUUAUGAUUAAGAACAAAUCUUCUGGAACUAGACUACCUGAAUUUGAAUUCAGAUCCUAUCCUUUACUAAAUGUAUGACUACAGGACAUCUUGUUCCAGAUUUUGACGGAAAUGCCUUACAGCACUGCGCACAAUGAACCUACAAUCAGAAGACUUGCCUCACAAGGCCUGGACUCACCAUCUAGCAGAACUAUAAUGCACAGGAGGAGCUAGAAGACUGAGCCCAGUGGAAGAGGGCCUCACACUGUGUGUGCGUAUGCCACCUAGUGACCAUGUUGAGUGGUGGUAGCUGUGAUUUUCACCUCACUGACAGCCUGACCCGGACUCCUGACUUCCCCGAUGCCUUCACAACUGCAAGUCAUUCUUGGGCAACCUUCGAGUUCAUCUAGUUGGUGCCUUUGAGAGCUUUGGCACAAUAUACAAGUUUAACCACCAUCGUGUUGCCUUGCUGAUUAGUUCUUGUGACAAGAUCAACAUUUGGGUUGCUUCCCUCAUCUUCUGCCUACUGUUCCUUCUGCAGCCAUUGGUCACACUCGUGUGUUGUCACUUUUUAUUUGCCUAAUGAAUUUUAUUGUUUGGCUAUUAUUACAAAUUAAUAAUGCCCACAGCUUCGUGAUAUGAAACUUUUAAGCUUGUAAGUUUGCAUAAGUUAGAUAGGUGAUAGAAAUGCAAGAACAGUAGAGAGCAAGAAAGGUCCUGUGACAGUGCAGACAGGAGCUUUGAGAUGCUUGGUAAUGGUGAAAGCGAGAACUCUGGAGGACAUUUGGGCAUGGAUGAAGCUCCAGUUUGUUCAUUUGUGGAUGCUGUUAGGGCCAGUGCAGUCAAGUAUUCCGCAGCAUCACUGGGGAGAUCGCACAUGACUCAAAUUGCCAAAAUGGAGAACAUGGCAAUUGAUUUGCAUUUGUCACUGCUAGAGCUGAAUAGUACUUUUUCCAUAUGUGGAAUCCACUAGUGACUAUCAUGGAAAUGCAAGCAUAGCUUUGGGUCUGGAUAAAAAAAUAAUCACAUUCCUUUCAAAUAAUCUGUGCUUCGAUAGGCUUGUGAAACAGUAUGGCCUGUGUAUAAAGCAAUGACUGAGAGUAAGCAGAGUAAUAGCUACUGCGGAAUAGCCUGAAUAGCUGAAAGACUGAGUAAGGAAAUGGUGUUUGCAUGAAGUGAUUUUCAGAGGCAAUGAAGGCUCUUGUUCUGGGAGCACAUGUAAAUUUACUUAUCUAUUGUGAAAGAUGAGAGACGGGCCAGAGGUUUCAUACCUAGAAGACAAGCUCAAAAUUCUGCUUCGUUCCAGUGCUUCUGGUGAUUUCCUUACUAAUCCUUGGUUACUUCCCAAAUUUAGAGAUUCUUGUCCUUUUAAAACACAA